rnacentral:rRNA from 1 species
UACGUAGGGUGCAAGCGUUGUCCGGAAUCACUGGGCGUAAAGGGCGCGUAGGCGGCCUGAUAAGUAGGGGGUGAAAUCCUGCGGCUUAACCGCAGGGCUGCCUUCUAAACUGUCAGGCUAGAGCACAGUAGAGGCAGGUGGAAUUCCCGGUGUAGCGGUGGAAUGCGUAGAGAUCGGGAAGAACAUCAGUGGCGAAGGCGGCCUGCUGGGCUGUUGCUGACGCUGAGGCGCGACAGCGUGGGGAGCAAACAGG